GCGGCGGGCACGGCCCGGCCCGCACGGGAGGAAAUCCUGAGCGAAGCGGCGGGGCGCGGCCCUGGGCGGCGGGGGUCACCUCAGCCGGCCGGUCGGCCGACAGCGCCGGCUUCUCCGCGGCACGGCCGGCGGCAUCGCUCGCCCCGCGGCAGGUGCCUUCGGUGUCACCUUGGCCCCCUGCGCUUUCCCUCAGGCGGGGCGUGUGGGGUCGGAUAGGACAGGGACCCGUCCGAAGCAGCGAGGAGCAGCUGAUGCAGGCGUGUGGAGACUCGGUCACUGCCGGACGGGCAGCGUGUCCCCUUCCCAAACGCUGCUAUUUGUACAGGAGGCAAGUCCUGCAUCGUGCAGGAGGAAGAGGAGAAACGGGGGCUUCCCAGUGCAGCAUCAAUCAGCAAUAUCUGGCUAACUAUUUUAAGUGAGACUAAAGUGUGCAACUGCUUUUCCACCUCUCACGGUGGUCACAAGGUGUUAGUGAGGAUCAGAGAGGAGUAGAUGUGUUCUCUAACUCCCAAGAGAAAUUCUGCCUGCUCCGUUUUCAGCUGUAUGGAUUGUUGCGCGGAGGCCCUCGUGUGUUUGCUAACUCAGAUGCUUCCCCCUUCAGCUUCAGAAAAAGACACACAGUAUCUGCAUCUGUUCCUUGGCAAAGUCCUAGGAGUGCAGUUGAUAAAGAUUCUGGAGCUGAGCAUUUGCUAUUUGAAAUGCAUGCAUGCACCAUAGGACACAGAAGUACUUUCCUUCUCAUUUUAUGCUUCAGCUUCAUGAACUGUUGAGAGAAGACAGACCUUGCUCGGUGAGACUUUUCACUUCUCACCUUAUCCGUGUCUUCUUGAUAGAUCACAUUUUUAAAAUCUAAUUGAAUUGGGGACCAUAACAGAAAAAAAGAAUGUAAGAGCAGAAAAUGGGAUGUGGCCUAUUUCAAUUGCUUCUCCUUACUCAGACAGACCUUGCCAGAGAGAUUCUGCUCUGACAUUAAGCAUUUGGGCGCAACUUGUUCACCAUGAAAUAUUGGUGGCAAUCUCUUGAAUACUGGGCCACAGCUUAACUUAGAGAAAUACUGAGAGGGACUUUAGCUUUCCAUACCGUAGAGAAAAGUGCUACCAAUGUUCAUACUGUGUGAUCAAACACUCUGCUUUCGUGCAGCAACAGUGGAUUCCAGUCCUGCUUUGACAACUACCACGAAACCCCUUGUAAUAUCUAAAGACUUUGCAGUCAAGUGGAUGUUUCUGAUUUCAUUGCUAAUUUGGAUAUGGAAUUUGGAAACAUCAAGCAUAUUUUACCAUUCAGUCUGACAAGCAGAAGUCUUUUUGUCACAUUUUUCUUCUCAACUAACAGCAAUUUGUACAAUUUUAUGAAUUUUUCACUAAAGAAUCGGAACAAUAGAAGUAUUCAAAGUAAUUAAUUGGUAUUAUACUAAGAAAGGUAAAUCAAUAAGUGUAUUGCAAAGUUCUGAAGAAAUUUAGAAGUACUUAUUCUUCCUAUUCAGUCAGCUGUCCAAAGUUUCCAGAGACACAAGGACAGAGCUACUGCAGCCGUUGAAGACUAUGGGAAUUGGAAGCACUUGUCAGCCCUUUCCAGUGGUAAAGUUGGAAGGAACAUAGGAUUCAAAAGGAAUGUUUUGUAACACUCGAUUUAACCUUCCCUAACUCUGUUUCCUUCAGUUAAAAUUGUGGUUGAAGAUACCUUCAACAGCUGCUGCCACGUGAAGGCUGCCUGAUAUUCGUCUCCCUUGGCACGACACUUGCAGCAUCUUGUCUACAUGAAACCAGGUCCUGGCAUUGGAAUACAGCUGGCAAACUGCUAAAUACAAAAUCAUGGUUAGUAGAGGAUCAGACCAAUUUGACUUACCAUCAUGUUAAAUAAUGGCGAUGAAACUUUGGUUUGUGUCAUUUAAAAUGCUCACACAAGAGUUAAAAUAAAGGUUAAAAUUCCGCGAUAUAUAACUGAGUAUAAUUAUCAGAAGUGUGAAUUAACUUAAAAUUGAUUGUUUUGCUCAGAAACCAAAGAUGUCAGGCUAUGGCAUGCUGAAAACUGAGAAUAUGAGACAGUACAGUAGAAGCAAAUAUAUCAAGGACACUUCUCUUAAUUAUUAAAUUAAAAAUGUUAUCAGAAGCUGCUACAGAACUUGAAGAAUUUUCAUACCAGUAGAGUGGAGCUGGAUGUUGAACCUCGGUUAAAUUUCCUCCUGGCUCCAAGGAGUCUUUAUUGUAGUUUAAAGCAAAAUAUUUUAAUUUUUAUUUACCUAUUUUCAUUCCUUUAUAAACACUUCAAAGUGGAUAAAAAUUUUGCAUCUCGUAUUUCAAACACAAACCCAAAUCAUUUUAGAAUGCUUUAUAAUAUUGUAAAAAAACCCCACCAAACCCAAGAACUUCCAUAUGCAUUCAGUAAAUUCCUGUUCUACCUACAUCAGCAGUAUGGCUCCAGCUGAAUUCAGUGGAGUCAAAAAUAUGUCCAAUGAAUCUUUUUCAUUUAGGCAAUUUCUUAGAUUUUCUUUAGCAUAUUAAUAGUGAAAAAUCUUUAUAAUCACUAGACAUAAUCUUAAAUGAGAUAUAUGUUAAAAAUGUUUACUUUAUGCAAAGCAUAUA